UUCGGAUUUAUUGGGCGUAAGCGAGCGCAGACGGUUUAUUAAGUCUGAUGUGAAAGCCCGGAGCUCAACUCCGGAAUGGCAUUGGAAACUGGUUAACUUGAGUGCAGUAGAGGUAAGUGGAACUCCAUGUGUAGCGGUGGAAUGCGUAGAUAUAUGGAAGAACACCAGUGGCGAAGGCGGCUUACUGGACUGCAACUGACGUUGAGGCUCGAAAGUGUGGGUAGCAAACAGGAUUAGAUACCCUGGUAGUCCACACCGUAAACGAUGAACACUAGGUGUUAGGAGGUUUCCGCCUCUUAGUGCCGAAGCUAACGCAUUAAGUGUUCCGCCUGGGGAGUACGACCGCAAGGUUGAAACUCAAAGGAAUUGACGGGGACCCGCACAAGCGGUGGAGCAUGUGGUUUAAUUCGAAGCAACGCGAAGAACCUUACCAGGUCUUGACAUCCUUUGAAGCUUUUAGAGAUAGAAGUGUUCUCUUCGGAGACAAAGUGACAGGUGGUGCAUGGUCGUCGUCAGCUCGUGUCGUGAGAUGUUGGGUUAAGUCCCGCAACGAGCGCAACCCUUAUUGUUAGUUGCCAGCAUUCAGAUGGGCACUCUAGCGAGACUGCCGGUGACAAACCGGAGGAAGGCGGGGACGACGUCAGAUCAUCAUGCCCCUUAUGACCUGGGCUACACACGUGCUACAAUGGCGUAUACAACGAGUUGCCAACCCGCGAGGGUGAGCUAAUCUCUUAAAGUACGUCUCAGUUCGGAUUGUAGUCUGCAACUCGACUACAUGAAGUCGGAAUCGCUAGUAAUCGCGGAUCAGCACGCCGCGGUGAAUACGUUCCCGGGUCUUGUACACACCGCCCGUCACACCAUGGGAGUUUGUAAUGCCCAAAGCCGGUGGCCUAACCUUUUAGGAAGGAGCCGUCUAAGCAGGACAGAUGACUGGGGUGAAGUCGAAGGAGUAGAGUAUCNCACNNANUA
rnacentral:rRNA from 1 species